GGGUUGUGAGGUUAAGCGACUAAGCGUACACGGUGGAUGCCCUGGCAGUCAGAGGCGAUGAAGGACGUGCUAAUCUGCGAUAAGCGUCGGUAAGGUGAUAUGAACCGUUAUAACCGGCGAUUUCCGAAUGGGGAAACCCAGUGUGUUUCGACACACUAUCAUUAACUGAAUCCAUAGGUUAAUGAGGCGAACCGGGGGAACUGAAACAUCUAAGUACCCCGAGGAAAAGAAAUCAACCGAGAUUCCCCCAGUAGCGGCGAGCGAACGGGGAGCAGCCCAGAGCCUGAAUCAGUGUGUGUGUUAGUGGAAGCGUCUGGAAAGGCGCGCGAUACAGGGUGACAGCCCCGUACACAAAAAUGCACAUGCUGUGAGCUCGAUGAGUAGGGCGGGACACGUGGUAUCCUGUCUGAAUAUGGGGGGACCAUCCUCCAAGGCUAAAUACUCCUGACUGACCGAUAGUGAACCAGUACCGUGAGGGAAAGGCGAAAAGAACCCCGGCGAGGGGAGUGAAAAAGAACCUGAAACCGUGUACGUACAAGCAGUGGGAGCACGCUUCGGCGUGUGACUGCGUACCUUUUGUAUAAUGGGUCAGCGACUUAUAUUCUGUAGCAAGGUUAACCGAAUAGGGGAGCCGAAGGGAAACCGAGUCUUAACUGGGCGUUAAGUUGCAGGGUAUAGACCCGAAACCCGGUGAUCUAGCCAUGGGCAGGUUGAAGGUUGGGUAACACUAACUGGAGGACCGAACCGACUAAUGUUGAAAAAUUAGCGGAUGACUUGUGGCUGGGGGUGAAAGGCCAAUCAAACCGGGAGAUAGCUGGUUCUCCCCGAAAGCUAUUUAGGUAGCGCCUCGUGAAUUCAUCUCCGGGGGUAGAGCACUGUUUCGGCAAGGGGGUCAUCCCGACUUACCAACCCGAUGCAAACUGCGAAUACCGGAGAAUGUUAUCACGGGAGACACACGGCGGGUGCUAACGUCCGUCGUGAAGAGGGAAACAACCCAGACCGCCAGCUAAGGUCCCAAAGUCAUGGUUAAGUGGGAAACGAUGUGGGAAGGCCCAGACAGCCAGGAUGUUGGCUUAGAAGCAGCCAUCAUUUAAAGAAAGCGUAAUAGCUCACUGGUCGAGUCGGCCUGCGCGGAAGAUGUAACGGGGCUAAACCAUGCACCGAAGCUGCGGCAGCGACACUGUGUGUUGUUGGGUAGGGGAGCGUUCUGUAAGCCUGUGAAGGUGUACUGUGAGGUAUGCUGGAGGUAUCAGAAGUGCGAAUGCUGACAUAAGUAACGAUAAAGCGGGUGAAAAGCCCGCUCGCCGGAAGACCAAGGGUUCCUGUCCAACGUUAAUCGGGGCAGGGUGAGUCGACCCCUAAGGCGAGGCCGAAAGGCGUAGUCGAUGGGAAACAGGUUAAUAUUCCUGUACUUGGUGUUACUGCGAAGGGGGGACGGAGAAGGCUAUGUUGGCCGGGCGACGGUUGUCCCGGUUUAAGCGUGUAGGCUGGUUUUCCAGGCAAAUCCGGAAAAUCAAGGCUGAGGCGUGAUGACGAGGCACUACGGUGCUGAAGCAACAAAUGCCCUGCUUCCAGGAAAAGCCUCUAAGCAUCAGGUAACAUCAAAUCGUACCCCAAACCGACACAGGUGGUCAGGUAGAGAAUACCAAGGCGCUUGAGAGAACUCGGGUGAAGGAACUAGGCAAAAUGGUGCCGUAACUUCGGGAGAAGGCACGCUGAUAUGUAGGUGAAGCGACUUGCUCGUGGAGCUGAAAUCAGUCGAAGAUACCAGCUGGCUGCAACUGUUUAUUAAAAACACAGCACUGUGCAAACACGAAAGUGGACGUAUACGGUGUGACGCCUGCCCGGUGCCGGAAGGUUAAUUGAUGGGGUUAGCGCAAGCGAAGCUCUUGAUCGAAGCCCCGGUAAACGGCGGCCGUAACUAUAACGGUCCUAAGGUAGCGAAAUUCCUUGUCGGGUAAGUUCCGACCUGCACGAAUGGCGUAAUGAUGGCCAGGCUGUCUCCACCCGAGACUCAGUGAAAUUGAACUCGCUGUGAAGAUGCAGUGUACCCGCGGCAAGACGGAAAGACCCCGUGAACCUUUACUAUAGCUUGACACUGAACAUUGAGCCUUGAUGUGUAGGAUAGGUGGGAGGCUUUGAAGUGUGGACGCCAGUCUGCAUGGAGCCGACCUUGAAAUACCACCCUUUAAUGUUUGAUGUUCUAACGUUGACCCGUAAUCCGGGUUGCGGACAGUGUCUGGUGGGUAGUUUGACUGGGGCGGUCUCCUCCUAAAGAGUAACGGAGGAGCACGAAGGUUGGCUAAUCCUGGUCGGACAUCAGGAGGUUAGUGCAAUGGCAUAAGCCAGCUUGACUGCGAGCGUGACGGCGCGAGCAGGUGCGAAAGCAGGUCAUAGUGAUCCGGUGGUUCUGAAUGGAAGGGCCAUCGCUCAACGGAUAAAAGGUACUCCGGGGAUAACAGGCUGAUACCGCCCAAGAGUUCAUAUCGACGGCGGUGUUUGGCACCUCGAUGUCGGCUCAUCACAUCCUGGGGCUGAAGUAGGUCCCAAGGGUAUGGCUGUUCGCCAUUUAAAGUGGUACGCGAGCUGGGUUUAGAACGUCGUGAGACAGUUCGGUCCCUAUCUGCCGUGGGCGCUGGAGAACUGAGGGGGGCUGCUCCUAGUACGAGAGGACCGGAGUGGACGCAUCACUGGUGUUCGGGUUGUCAUGCCAAUGGCACUGCCCGGUAGCUAAAUGCGGAAGAGAUAAGUGCUGAAAGCAUCUAAGCACGAAACUUGCCCCGAGAUGAGUUCUCCCUGAC
rnacentral:rRNA from 1 species